rnacentral:rRNA from 1 species
UUCCAGUACAAAAGCUGGAAUAUCAACAUAAGACGAAAAGACCCUGUGGAGCUUCAAUAUCACUCUACCUCCAUUAGCACAAAUAUUUUAGUUGGGGCAACUUCGGAACAAAACUAAACUUCCGAGCAUACUCCGGAAACACCGUUAUCAAGACAAACAUGUCAAAACCCGAGCCAGAUCCAGUAACCCACUGACCAACGAACCAAGUUACCCCAGGGAUAACAGCGCCAUCUUCUUCUAGAGCCCCCAUCGACAAGAAGGUUUACGACCUCGAUGUUGGAUCAGGACACCCCAGCAGCGCAGCCGCUACUAAAGGUUCGUUUGUUCAACGAUUAAAGCCCUACGUGAUCUGA